rnacentral:rRNA from 1 species
UACAGAGGUCUCGAGCGUUAGACGGAAUCACUGGGCUUAAAGCGUGUGUAGGUGGAUCGUUAAGUACCUUGUGAAAUCCCACGGCUUAACCGUGGAACUGCUUGGUAUACUGGCGGUCUUGAGCCAGCUAGGGGCUACCGGAACAAAUGGUGGAGCGGUGAAAUGCGUAGAUAUCUGGAGGAACACCGGUGGCGAAGGCGGCGUUCUGGACUGCAACUGACACUGAGGAACGAAAGCCAGGGGAGCAAACGGG